GGCCUGCUGGCUCAAUAGUAGAGCGUCUGACUACGAUUCCAAAGCAUCAGGAGGUUCCAGGUUCGAGACCUGGGUGGGUCG